rnacentral:tRNA from 1 species
GGGCCCGUGGUGUAGCCUGGUCUAACACGUCUGCCUGUCACGCAGAAGAUCGAGGGUUCAAAUCCCUUCGGGCCCG